rnacentral:misc_RNA from 1 species
GAUGAAGAACGCAGCGAAAUGCGAUAAGUAAUGUGAAUUGCAGAAUUCAGUGAAUCAUCGAAUCUUUGAACGCACAUUGCGCCCGCCAGUAUUCUGGCGGGCAUGCCUGUUCGAGCGUCAUUUCAACCAUCAAGCCCCGCGCUUGUGUUGGGGACCUGCGGCUGCCGCAGGCCCUGAAAACCAGUGGCGGGCUCGCUGUCACACCGAGCGUAGUAGAUUUCUCAUCUCGCUCAGGGCGUGCUGCGGGUUCCGGCCGUAAAAAAGCCUUAUUUUACCCAAGGUUGACCUCGGAUCAGGUAGGAAGACCCGCUGAACUUAAGCAUAUCAAUAAGCGGAGGA